UUUGAGGUUUAAAAAUCCUCGCAAUCUGACAUCAAAGUGUUCUCUGUGCAAAGGUUUAGCGCGUUCAUCAGUGGUGAGUUUAACAACACUCAACUGCAGGUAAAACAGCAUUCAGCGGUGAGUUUGACCAAAGCAACGCUCAACUGCAGGAAAAUGGCAUUAAAAGGUGAGUUUAACAACGCUCCAAGGCGCGUGCAAGUAAGCAGUUUAACCGUUUUCUUACAACCCAUUCUCGCUUAUCGCUUAUUCAUAGUUUAUCACUAUGAAAUCACGUUCAAGAAGUCUCAUUCAGCACACAUCGCGAUACUUGCCAUCAGUUUACAUGUGCCACAGGUUAGACAUAAAGGAAGCAGUCAGCCCAGUGGUGUUUCUGAAGAGGUAUUCCUUCAGAAAUGGAGAAGACAGAAAACUGCGGAGGCAGACAUUUGCAGCACCCAAGUGUUCGAGUGAGCAUGAUGACCACAAGUGUGUGUCGAACUUUUCAUGACCUGAUGACAGUGGUUCCCAAUCCUGGUCCUGGAGAACCCCAACACUGCACGGUUUUGGUGUCUCUCUUAUCUGACAAACACACUUUUGAGGUCUUGGAGUCUUCACUGAUGAGCUGAUGAGCUGAAUCAGGAUUGUUUGCAGAUAAUGCUGUUCUUCUCCAUCAUGCACAAGGACUCACCUCUUUAAUUCUUUACCCCCCCCACACACACA